UACAGAGGUCUCAAGCGUUGUUCGGAUUCAUUGGGCGUAAAGGGGGCGUAGGCGGCGCGGUAAGUCGGGUGUGAAAUCUCGGGGCUUAACUCCGAAACUGCAUUCGAUACUGCCGUGCUUGAGGACUGGAGAGGAGACUGGAAUUUACGGUGUAGCAGUGAAAUGCGUAGAUAUCGUAAGGAAGACCAGUGGCGAAGGCGGGUCUCUGGACAGUUCCUGACGCUGAGACACGAAGGCCAGGGGAGCAAACGGG
rnacentral:rRNA from 1 species